rnacentral:rRNA from 1 species
GAUGAACGCUGGCGGCGUGCCUAAUACAUGCAAGUCGAGCGAACAGACGAGGAGCUUGCUCCUCUGACGUUAGCGGCGGACGGGUGAGUAACACGUGGAUAACCUACCUAUAAGACUGGGAUAACUUCGGGAAACCGGAGCUAAUACCGGAUAAUAUAUUGAACCGCAUGGUUCAAUAGUGAAAGACGGUUUUGCUGUCACUUAUAGAUGGAUCCGCGCCGCAUUAGCUAGUUGGUAAGGUAACGGCUUACCAAGGCAACGAUGCGUAGCCGACCUGAGAGGGGGGUUGGCCGCACUGGAACUGAGGCACGGUCCGGCCUCCGCCGGGAGGCCGCAGUUGGUGAUCUUGCGCAAGGGGCGAAAACCGUACAGCGCUACGCCGCGUGAGUAAUAAAGGUCUUCGUAUCGUAAAACUCUGUGACGAGGCAAGAACAAAUGUGCACGUCAAUAUACACGUCUGGACGGUACCUAAUCAGAAAGCCCCGGCUACCUCCGUG